GGAUUUGAAAAACACCACUUCAAAAUGGGGGACAAUGUUAAUGCUCAAAACUUCACCAUUGAAGGUGGAUCUUCUGAUGAAGGAGUUGCCAUUAACAUAAUUGAGAAUUUAAAUAGAUUCCAUAUAAAUGACACUCGUCUAAAUGACAAUCCUAUACAAGAAGCACCGCCAAG